rnacentral:rRNA from 1 species
UUCAAGAUUCUAAGAGCAAACGGUGGAUGCCUUGGCAUCUGGAGCCGAAGAAGGACGUAUAAAUCUGCGAUAAGCCUCGGGGAGCUGAUAAUAGAGCUUUGAUCCGAGGAUCUCCGAAUGGGGAAACCCCGCCAGGCCCUUUGGGUGACCUGGUGACUCCCGCCUGAAUAUAUAGGGCGGGUAGAGGGAACGUGGGGAAGUGAAACAUCUCAGUACCCACAGGAAGAGAAAGCAAAAGCGAUUCCGUUAGUAGUGGCGAGCGAAACCGGAAGAGGCCAAACCGAUCAUGUGUGAUAUCCGGUAGGAGUUGCAUGGUCGGGGUUGCGGGACUUUCCGUACAGUUCUACCGAGCUGUGAGGGCAAUGAGCGCGAUAUAGACGAAUGGUCUUGAAAGGCCAGUCAUAGAGGGUGCGAACCCCGUAGUCGAAAUGUCGUCGCCUGUCCGGAGAGUAUCCCAAGUAGCACGGGGCCCGAGAAAUCCCGUGUGAAUCUGUCAGGACCACCUGAUAAGCCUAAAUACUCCCAGAUGACCGAUAGCGGACAAGUACCGUGAGGGAAAGGUGAAAAGUACCCCGGGAGGGGAGUGAAAUAGUACCUGAAACCGUUUGCUUACAAACCGUUGGAGCACCCUUGUUGGUGUGACAGCGUGCCUUUUGAAGAAUGAGCCUGCGAGUUAGUGAUAUGUGGCGAGGUUAACCCGUGAGGGGCAGCCGUAGCGAAAGCGAGUCUUAAUAGGGCGUAUGAGUCGCAUGUUCUAGACCCGAAGCGAAGUGAUCUAUCCAUGGCCAGGUUGAAGCGACGGUAAGACGUCGUGGAGGACCGAACCCACUUCAGUUGAAAAUGGAGGGGAUGAGCUGUGGAUAGGGGUGAAAGGCCAAUCAAACUUCGUGAUAGCUGGUUCUCUCCGAAAUGCAUUUAGGUGCAGCGUUGCGUGUUUCUUGCCGGAGGUAGAGCUACUGGAUGGACGAUGGGCCCCAAAAGGUUACUGACUUCAGCCAAACUCCGAAUGCCGGUAAGUGAGAGCGCAGCAGUGAGACGGUGGGGGAUAAGCUUCAUCGUCGAGAGGGAAACAACCCAGACCACCAUCUAAGGUCCCUAAGCGCGUGCUAAGUGGGAAAGGAUGUGGAGUUGCAUAGACAACCAGGAGGUUGGCUUAGAAGCAGCCACCCUUGAAAGAGUGCGUAAUAGCUCACUGGUCAAGUGAUUCCGCGCCGACAAUGUAACGGGGCUCAAGCACGCCACCGAAGUUGUGGCAUUUAUAUUAUAGGCAGGCCUUCGUGGUCCAGCCGUAUGGAUGGGUAGGAGAGCGUCGUGUGGCCAGCGAAGCGGCGGUGUGAACCAGCCGUGGAGGCCACACGAGUGAGAAUGCAGGCAUGAGUAGCGAAAGACGGGUGAGAAACCCGUCCUCCGAAAGACCAAGGGUUCCAGGGCCAGGCUAAUCCGCCCUGGGUAAGUCGGGACCUAAGGCGAGGCCGACAGGCGUAGUCGAUGGACAACGGGUUGAUAUUCCCGUACCGAUGAAGAACCGCCCAAGACAAUCCAGUAAUGCUAAGUGUCUGAAUCCUUGAUUCGAUCCCUUCGGGGUGACGGUCUUGGCCUAGCACACGACCCUACGCUGGGGCGUUUAGCGUAUUAACAGGUGUGACGCAGGAAGGUAGCUGAGCCGGGCGAUGGUUGUCCCGGUCUAAGGAUGUAGGGCAGAAGAUAGGCAAAUCCGUCUUCUAUGUAGCCUGAGACCCGAUGGGUAGUCCUUACGGACGAAAUCAGUGAUCCUAUGCUGCCGAGAAAAGCAUCGACGCGAGGUUCCAAUCGCCCGUACCCCAAACCGACUCAGGUGGUCAGGUAGAGAAUACUAAGGAGAUCGAGAGAAUCGUGGUUAAGGAACUCGGCAAAAUGCCCCCGUAACUUCGGGAGAAGGGGGGCCUGAGGCGUGUAGGGAUUUACUCCUGAAGCGUUUGAAGGCCGCAGAGACCAGUGGGAAGCGACUGUUUACUAAAAACACAGGUCCGUGCUAAGUCGCAAGACGAUGUAUACGGACUGACGCCUGCCCGGUGCUGGAAGGUUAAGAGGAACGGUUAGCACGCAAGUGCGAAGCUGAGAAUUUAAGCCCCAGUAAACGGCGGUGGUAACUAUAACCAUCCUAAGGUAGCGAAAUUCCUUGUCGGGUAAGUUCCGACCUGCACGAAUGGCGUAACGACUUCCCAGCUGUCUCAACCGCGAACUCGGCGAAAUUGCACUACGAGUAAAGAUGCUCGUUACGCGCAGCAGGACGGAAAGACCCCGUGACCUUUACUACAGCUUGGUAUUGGUGUUCGGUGUGGCUUGUGUAGGAUAGGUGGGAGACUGUGAAGCUCGGACGCUAGUUCGGGUGGAGUCAUUGUUGAAAUACCACUCUGGUCACUCUGGAUAUCUAACUUCGAACCGUAAUCCGGUUCAGGGACAGUGCCUGGUGGGUAGUUUAACUGGGGCGGUUGCCUCCUAAAGAGUAACGGAGGCGCCCAAAGGUUCCCUCAACCUGGUUGGUAAUCAGGUGUCGAGUGUAAGUGCACAAGGGAGCUUGACUGUGAGACUGACAAGUCGAGCAGGGACGAAAGUCGGGACUAGUGAUCCGGCAGUGGCUUGUGGAAGCGCUGUCGCUCAACGGAUAAAAGGUACCUCGGGGAUAACAGGCUGAUCUUGCCCAAGAGUCCAUAUCGACGGCAUGGUUUGGCACCUCGAUGUCGGCUCGUCGCAUCCUGGGGCUGGAGUAGGUCCCAAGGGUUGGGCUGUUCGCCCAUUAAAGCGGUACGCGAGCUGGGUUUAGAACGUCGUGAGACAGUUCGGUCCCUAUCCGCUGCGCGCGUAGGAAAUUUGAGAAGAUCUAUCCCUAGUACGAGAGGACCGGGAUGGACGAACCUCUGGUGUGUCAGUUGUUCCGCCAGGAGCACCGCUGAUUAGCUACGUUCGGAACGGAUAACCGCUGAAAGCAUCUAAGCGGGAAGCCGGCUUCGAGAUGAGAUUUCCAUCCCUUUUAGGGUGAAGGCUCCCGGCUAGACUACCGGGUUGAUAGGCAGGAUGUGGAAGCGAGGACUAAAGACUCGUGGAGCUGACCUGUACUAAUAAGCCGAUAUCUUGAAAACA